GUAUAUCUGGGUUGAUGGUACUGGAGAAGG
rnacentral:piRNA from 1 species